UACGGGGGGAGCAAGCGUUGUUCGGAUUUACUGGGCGUAAAGGGCGCGUAGGCGGUCGUGACAAGUCACUUGUGAAAUCUCCGGGGCUUAACUCGGAACGGUCAAGUGAUACUGUCGGACUAGAGUACAGAAGGGGCAACUGGAAUUCUCGGUGUAGCGGUGAAAUGCGUAGAUAUCGAGAGGAACACCUGCGGCGAAGGCGGGUUGCUGGGCUGAUACUGACGCUGGAGGCGCGGAAAGCCAGGGGAGCGAACGGGA
rnacentral:rRNA from 1 species